UACGUAGGGUGCAAGUGUUAAUCGGAAUUACUGGGCGUAAAGCGUGCGCAGGCGGUUGUGUAAGACAGAUGUGAAAAUCCCCGGGCUCAACCUGGGAACUGCAUUUGUGACUGCACAGCUGGAGUGCGGCAGAGGGGGGAUGGAAUUCCGCGUGUAGCAGUGAAAUGCGUAGAUAUGCGGAGGAACACCGAUGGCGAAGGCAAUCCCCUGGGCCUGCACUGACGCUCAUGCACGAAAGCGUGGGGAGCAAACAGGAUUGAGAAACCCG
rnacentral:rRNA from 1 species